AGGCCCUAUCUGCGUAGAUUCAAUAAUGUGCGUCGGACAUGCACUUAGAUACGAUGCAGAUAAUUAUUUGGGCCGGAUAAUACUUAGAGUGCGACGCAGAUGAGGCCCAAUAUACACACGCGCUUCUUCCUUCUUUUUUAUUUACAAAACCUACCAAUUAACUUCUUCCUUCCUCAUCUCACACAGCCGUCACUCUAUCCCUCUCUCUCCUUCACUUUUUCCCAUCUUUCUUCCAUCAAAUUCUGAAUUCUUAAAAUACAUCUUAAUUAUUGUCACCGGAAAUUAGAUUCAUCGUCACAUCAUCGAAAAUACUGAUUUCGUGGUUGUUUGCUCGUCGGAUUCGUUCUUUCAUGAACUGCAAAUCUUCCUCAGAAAAAAUGGCAAAUCCUUCGUGAACUGCAAUUCGAAUAUGGCACUUCGUGAACUGCAUUCCGUACCAAUUUUGUACCAAGAAUAAGAUCUGUUUGAAGACCUCCUCGUUUUUUCAUUUUUGUCUGUGUCGACACAUUGCUGCUGGUGGAUUUGUUCGAAUUAUAAGAACGAGAAGGAAGGUCAAGAUGUGAAGGAAGCUCCAAAAGUUUUGUACUAUAUUAGUUAAUGAUAGAUUUGUUAUUAUGAAUUUGUUGUUUUAUAUAUGUUCUGAAACUCCAACUAUUUCUACAAAUUCUUGCUUUAUUGUUUAUUAGUUUUCUUUGAUUUUCCAUCCUCUCUAAACAUUCAUCGUCACACCUUGAAUUUCAUUUUUUGUUUUUGA